ACGUGGCAAAAAAGACCUCUGGAAACGC
rnacentral:sRNA from 1 species